rnacentral:rRNA from 1 species
GACGAACGCUGGCGGCGUGCCUAAUACAUGCAAGUCGUACGCACAGAAGCUGGAAACUUGUUUCCAGUGGACGUGAGUGGCGCACGGGUGAGUAACACGUGGGAAACCUACCCUUCAGCGGGGGAUAACCGUCGGAAACGAUGACUAAUACCGCAUAGGUCUUUGAGUCACCUGACUUAAAGAGGAAAGACGGCUUCGGCUGUCACUGAAGGAUGGUCCUGCGGUGCAUUAGCUAGUUGGUAAGGUAACGGCUUACCAAGGCGGUGAUGCAUAGCCGACCUGAGAGGGUGAUCGGCCACACUGGAACUGAGACACGGUCCAG